rnacentral:rRNA from 1 species
AGGGUUUGAUCCUGGCUCAGGACGAACGCUGGCGGCGUGCCUAAUACAUGCAAGUCGAACGAGACUUUCUUCGGUGGUAACACCUUUGAUUGUCUAGUGGCGAACGGGUGAGUAACACGUGAGAAACCUGCCCUGAAGACGGGGAUAACAGGAGGAAACUUCUGCUAAUACCCGAUACCCCCACCGGAUCGCAUGGUCUGGUGAGGAAAUGGAUUCCGCUUCAGGAGGGUCUCGCGGCCUAUCAGCUUGUUGGUGAGGUAACGGCUUACCAAGGCUUGGACGGGUAGCUGGUCUGAGAGGACGAUCAGCCACACUGGGACUGAGACACGGCCCAGACUCCUACGGGAGGCAGCAGUAAGGAAUAUUGCGCAAUGGGCGAAAGCCUGACGCAGCAACGCCGCGUGCGGGAUGAAGGCCCUCGGGUUGUAAACCGCUUUCAGUAGGGAAGAAAAUGACGGUACCUACAGAAGAAGCCCCGGCCAACUACGUGCCAGCAGCCGCGGUAACACGUAGGGGGCGAGCGUUGUCCGGAUUUAUUGGGCGUAAAGAGCUCGUAGGCGGUUUCGUAAGUCGGAUGUGAAAACUCCAGGCUCAACUUGGAGACGCCAUUCGAUACUGCGAUGACUUGAGUCCGGUAGGGGAGUGUGGAAUUCCUGGUGUAGCGGUGAAAUGCGCAGAUAUCAGGAGGAACACCGGCGGCGAAGGCGGCACUCUGGGCCGGUACUGACGCUGAGGAGCGAAAGCGUGGGUAGCAAACAGGAUUAGAUACCCUGGUAGUCCACGCCGUAAACGGUGGGCACUAGGUGUGGGAUUCACUCAACGGAUUCCGUGCCGCAGCUAACGCAUUAAGUGCCCCGCCUGGGGAGUACGGCCGCAAGG